ACGGGGCGCGUCGCCGCGGCCCCCCUGGCCCAGGAGCGAGAGGUCGGGGAGCCUAGAGCCAGAGGGCGGCAGCGAGAGCUGGAGCCGCCUUCAAAGGACGCCCUCGCCUUCCCGCAGGCGCCGGCGCCCGGCCCAGUCCAAGCCAGCAGAGGGCGGUCCGCCGAGCUGAGCCCGGGGAGGGCUGGGCUGCCCAGCUGAUCAGAGGCUUUCUCCCGGGUUGCGGGUUCUCUGGCCUGCGGCACCCUCCGGCGCCGGGACCACCCACCCACAAGCCCUGCCCGAAGGUGUGUGCAGCCAGGAAGGCGGGGCCUGGUGUCCUCAGGGCUCUGGCGCCAAGUUCAGAGCCGCGAGUUGGGCCCUUGGCGGUGGCGGCCGCGUUGGCAUCUCCCUCUCUGCGCGCCGCCUGACAGCCUGGGAGAGAAGCGCCCUCAGGUGGGCCAAGACCUGGAGCAAGCGGGAGCGGCCAGCGAGGUCCAUCUCAUUUCCACUGCCUUUCCUCACGGAAACCCCAGGACCUUAUAAGCCAUCAGCAGAAGAGGCCCAUAAGUGAUUGUCCUCUGGAAUCUUCCAAAAGGGUCUGAGAAGCUUCUCCAGAGACUGGGGACACCAAAGGAUUGGAAGACAGGAGGUGAGAAAGCAGAGACAUGGCGAUGAUCCACACUUUGCCCAAGGUCACAGGUUGGAUACAGCAAAGCUGGAUUGGAGUCUCGGUUACCUGGAACAACCUGGUUAAGUCAGUCUCACCCAAAGGUUUCAAGUGCAAAGCCCUGGCCUUCCACCGUCUUCCCAUAACCCAGGUCUGUAUCCUGUCCCUUCCCUCCCCUGCACCUGGCAUUGCACAGAAGGUGUGGGUGGCAAUGUCCCCUAAAAGCUUCUGCAAGGCUUAGCUUCCUGCUGUGCUGUCUGUACCUCUGUGAGUAAAGGCAAAAUGUCAAGAAAAGCAUUCAAUUGUCUUGUAUCUAAAACCAGGUAUUUUCUUUCAGGUGACCCUGAAAAUUCAGAGAUUCAUAAUUUGAUCAUCUAUGUAUUUUUUCCCAGGAAAGGCACUGAACAGGUUACAUGUGCAGAUCUUUGGAUAUAAUCUAUUGGAGAAAGGAUCUGGGCUGACGACACCAGCAUCUAGCACAAGCCCUGGAUGAGAAUAAUGGGGCACUACAAGAUGAACAGAGAGAGGGAUUGGUGGUGGGCGGAGGGAAGGGAUGCAAACAAUUAUGGCCAAGAAGUCACCUUAGGGAAAAAACCUAAGAAGAAUUUUGGCUUGCAAAAGAGAAGGAAGCCGAUAGGAAGAGUGGAAGAGGGCGUGAGGGGAGAGGCUGAAAGAGA